UAGCCGGAAAGUAGAGCAUUGCAGUAGUCUAACCUAGAAGUGACAAAAGCAUGGAUUAAUUUUUCUGCAUCAUUUUUGGACAGAAAGUUUCUGAUUUUUGCAAUGUUACGUAGAUGGACAAAAGCUGUUCUUGAAACAGUCUUGAUAUGUUCGUCAAAAGAGAGAUCAGGGUCCAGAGUAACGCAGAGGUCCUUCACAGUUUUAUUUGAGACGACUGAACAACCAUCAAGAUGAAUUGUCAGAUCCAACAGAAGAUCUCUUUGUUUAAAAGUAAAUAACUUCCCGACAUUCGCUUCAUUCCAGUCUAAUGUCUAGACCAGUUCAGACCUGUAGUGUCUGGGCGUUAAGCUCCCUCUUGUCCUUUGCCAGGGCCAAUCAGCCAUGUUCUCCAGGGCAUCACGACUCUCUGAUACCCCUCUCUUUAGGAGGGUCUGACUGGACCACUGGGGUAGGACUGACUCACGGCCCGGAAGAAGGGAGAAUAAUUAGAGGGAGGAGACAGAGAGGGGGGAACAAGGGAUGUGAGUAGCACGGCCACCAGUGGGAGACACUGAGUCAAAUAUGUGUUCCUGCUACAUUUACAGUAAAUGCACAGCUCACAAAGGGGAUGAGAAGAAGUAAAGAUAGCAAGGACAGGCUAAUUGACUAGAAUGCAAGGACAGGCUAAUUGACUAGAAUGCAAGGACAGGCUAAUUGACUAGAAUGCAAGGACAGGCUAAUUGACUAGAAUGCAAGGACAGGCUAAUUGACUAGAAUGCAAGGACAGGUUAAUUGACUAGAAUGCAUUUGCCCAAGGAGGUAAGGGAGUGUAAGCAAGAGGAUA
ensembl:lncRNA